GCGUACUGUAUACUACCUGCGAACCCAGACGUAAUUUCCUCGUUUCUCGCUCAGUUAUUUUUCGACAUUUCUCGCUCAGUUAUUUUCUGAGCGAGAAAUGAGGAAAUUACGUCUGGGUUCGCAGACUACACUCUACUC
rnacentral:miRNA from 1 species